GGGUUCCCGUCCCCUGUAACAGCAACUCCAUGUGGAGGUGCUCGCUGGUUCCAGUGGAGUUGCUGUUGCCUGGGGCGAGGGCCAC
rnacentral:pre_miRNA from 15 species